rnacentral:rRNA from 1 species
GACGCACGCUGGCGGCGUGCCUAAUACAUGCACGUAGCACGCAGUUGCGAACGGGUGAGUCACGCAUAGGUAACUGCCUGGUAGCGGGGGAUAACUCUUGGAAACGAUAGCUAAUACCGAAUACUACCAGAUGGACCUGCGUUGUAUUAGCUAGUUGGUGGGGUAACGGCUCACCAAGGAAACGAUACAUAGCCGACCUGCGAGGGUGAUCGGCAACACUGGGACUGAGAAACGGCCCAGACUCCUACGGGAGGAAGCAGUAGGGAAUCUUCGGCAAUGGACGGAAGUCUGACCGAGCAACGCCGCGUGAGUGAAGAAGGUUUGCGGAUCGUAAAGCUCUGUUGUAAGAGAAGCGGUAUCUUACCAGAAAGGGACGGCUAACUACGUGCCAGCAGCCGCGGUAAUUC